GCAUAACCUCCCUAAAUCCCUGCCUGGAGGCGGUGAUGCGCUGGAUGAGAGGUUUAAGACUGCAACCCCCAAGAGGCAGUAUGACAGGUGUUACCUCAAGAUUUCUGUGCCAACUGCUGCCUCCUUUUGUGUACACCCUCCUCCCCUUCUUUCAAUCUUUGUAAAAAAUGGAAAGGGGCAGGAGAGCAUCUUGCUGCCUCACCCAGUGCUGCAAUAACCUGCUGCCUGAGGCAACCACCUCACCCUGCCUCAUCGAAGGGCCACCCCUGGGUAUGACCCCGAGUUGAGUGGAAUAUGUCAGCAAGAGUAUGAUUGUAUCUAUGCAGUUUUAAGACUAUAAACCCUAUGAUAUUUUGGUCUUUGUAAGGAAAAUGACCAGUUUAGGGACUUGAAAAUCAAUGUAUAGGGUAAAGCACUGGAGAAGAGAGACCUCCAUGAUGGAACCAGUCAAAUUCUGUUUUUUCCAUGAUUUCCCUGUUGCACAAAUGUCUAUGUACAAAUGUCUGUACAGUCAUAAACGUUUUUGUGUGAA